rnacentral:rRNA from 1 species
CCCUGCCCUUUGUACACACCGCCCGUCGCUGCUACCGAUUUUGAGUGGUCCGGUGAACCUUCUGGACUGUGCUGGAGCUUGACUCCAGCGUAGGAAGUUAAGUAAACCUUAUCACUUAGAGGAAGCAA